rnacentral:rRNA from 2 species
UGCCUUAGUAACGGCGAGUGAAGCGGCAACAGCUCAAAUUUGAAAGCUGGCCCUUUCAGGGUCCGCGUUGUAAUUUGUAGAGGAUGAUUCGGCGAGGGCUCCCGCCUAAGUCCCCUGGAACGGGGCGUCAUAGAGGGUGAGAAUCCCGUAUGCGGUGGGCUGCCUUAGCCAUGUGAAUCUCCUUCGACGAGUCGAGUUGUUUGGGAAUGCAGCUCUAAAUGGGAGGUAAAUUUCUUCUAAAGCUAAAUACCGGCCAGAGACCGAUAGCGCACAAGUAGAGUGAUCGAAAGAUGAAAAGCACUUUGGAAAGAGAGUUAAAAAGUACGUGAAAUUGUUGAAAGGGAAGCGCUUGCAACCAGACUUGUCCGCAGUUGCUCAGCCGGUCUCCUGACCGGCGUACUCUUCUGCGGCCAGGCCAGCAUCAGUUCGGGCGGUCGGAUAAAGACCUCGGGAAUGUGGCUCCUCUCGGGGAGUGUUAUAGCCCGGGGUGGAAUGCGGCCAGCCUGGACUGAGGAUCUCGCUUCGGCAAGGAUGCUGGCGUAAUGGUUGUAAGCGGCCCGUCUUGAAACACGGACCAAGGAGUCUAACAUCUAUGCGAGUGUUUGGGUGUCAAACCCAUACGCGUAAUGAAAGUGAACGGAGGUGGGAACCCGCAAGGGCGCACCAUCGGCCGAUCCUGAUGUCUUCGGAUGGAUUUGAGCAAGAGCAUAGCUGUUGGGACCCGAAAGAUGGUGAACUAUGCCUGAAUAGGGUGAAGCCAGAGGAAACUCUGGUGGAGGCUCGCAGCGGUUCUGACGUGCAAAUCGAUCGUCAAAUUUGGGUAUAGGGGCGAAAGACUAAUCGAACCAU